rnacentral:rRNA from 1 species
AACGAACGCUGGCGGCAUGCCUAACACAUGCAAGUCGAACGAGACCUUCGGGUCUAGUGGCGCACGGGUGCGUAACGCGUGGGAACCUGCCCUUAGGUUCGGAAUAACUCCCCGAAAGGGGUGCUAAUACCGGAUAAUGUCUUCGGACCAAAGAUUUAUCGCCUUUGGAUGGGCCCGCGUUGGAUUAGCUAGUUGGUAGGGUAAAAGCCUACCAAGGCGACGAUCCAUAGCUGGUCUGAGAGGAUGAUCAGCCACACUGGGACUGAGACACGGCCCAGACCCCUACGGAAGGCGGCAGUGGGAAUAUUGGACAAUGGGCGAAAGCCUGAUCCAGCAAUGCCGCGUGAGUGAUGAAGGCCUUAGGGUUGUAAAGCUCUUUUACCCGGGAUGAUAAUGACAGUACCGGGAGAAUAAGCUCCGGCUAACUCCGUG